rnacentral:lncRNA from 1 species
AGAUAAAACAAGUCUCGUAUGAAUCGAAGUUUCCAACAAAGAGUUACAAUAGAUUUAGUAACCCAAGAUCAAAGAACAAAUCUCAAUUUUAUAGAAUUCACAGGGUCGGUUUCAACAGAAAACUGGGCAAGCAUUUGGACUCUAAAUCUUUCAAUCCAGGUAUCAAAGAAAGAUCAUAAUCUCAGAAGUUGCACAGAUUCGAAUCGUUACGUCUAAACAGGAGAUAUAUCAAAUGCAAGGCUAGAACAAUUCAAAGUUCCUCAUAUUCAAAGCAAAUAUAGAGAUAAAAU